rnacentral:sRNA from 1 species
CUGGCUUUAAAGUCUAUGAGUCUGUGCGUAGCAGCAGUGCAAGUUUUCCCAUAUGGUCCUGCUAAUGUGCCUCAACUCUGAACUGGAGGGACCACAUCUAGGGAUGAGAUGAUAGUUCAGGACCCAAUCCUACUCCCAU